UGGGGAAUUUUGGACAAUGGGCGAAAGCCUGAUCCAGCAAUGCCGCGUGUGUGAAGAGGGCCUUCGGGUUGUAAAGCACUUUUGUCCGGAAAGAAAUCCUUGGCUCUAAUACAGUCGGGGGAUGACGGUACCGGAAGAAUAAGCACCGGCUAACUACGUGCCAGCAGCCGCGGUAAUACGUAGGGUGCAAGCGUUAAUCGGAAUUACUGGGCGUAAAGCGUGCGCAGGCGGUUUGCUAAGACCGAUGUGAAAUCCCCGGGCUCAACCUGGGAACUGCAUUGGUGACUGGCAGGCUAGAGUAUGGCAGAGGGGGGUAGAAUUCCACGUGUAGCAGUGAAAUGCGUAGAGAUGUGGAGGAAUACCGAUGGCGAAGGCAGCCCCCUGGGCCAAUACUGACGCUCAUGCACGAAAGCGUGGGGAGCAAACAGGAUUAGAUACCCUGGUAGUCCACGCCCUAAACGAUGUCAACUAGUUGUUGGGGAUUCAUUUCCUUAGUAACGUAGCUAACGCGUGAAGUUGACCGCCUGGGGAGUACGGUCGCAAGAUUAAACUCAAAUGAAUUGACGGGGUCAUAGCUGUUUCCU
rnacentral:rRNA from 1 species